GACGAACGCUGGCGGCGUGCCUAAUACAUGCAGGUCGAACGAGGGCGACCGGUGCUUGCACUGGUCAAUCUAGUGGCGAACGGGUGAGUAACACGUGGGUAACCUGCCCAUCAGAGGGGGAUAACAUCCGGAAACGGAUGCUAAAACCGCAUAGGUCUUCGAGCCGCAUGGCUUGAAGAGGAAAAGAGGCGCAAGCUUCUGCUGAUGGAUGGACCCGCGGUGCAUUAGCUAGUUGGUGAGGUAACGGCUCACCAAGGACGGGAUGCAUAGCCGACCUGAGAGGGUGAUCGGCCACAUUGGGACUGAGACACGGCCCAAACUCCUACGGGAGGCAGCAGUAGGGAAUCUUCCGCAAUGGACGCAAGUCUGACGGAGCAACGCCGCGUGAGUGAAGAAGGUUUUCGGAUCGUAAAACUCUGUUGUUAGAGAAGAACAAGUGCUAGAGUAACUGUUAGCGCCUUGACGGUAUCUAACCAGAAAGCCACGGCUAACUACGUG
rnacentral:rRNA from 1 species